AGUGGGAUAGCUGGGUCAAAUGGUGGUUCCAUUCAUAGUUUUCUAAGGAAUCUCCAUAUGACUUUAUAGAAUAACUGCACCAAUGUGCAAUCCCACCAGCAAU
rnacentral:pre_miRNA from 1 species